rfam:Folsomia candida strain VT population Fcan01_Sc003, whole genome shotgun sequence.
UGUUGAUGAUGAAUAAUUUGAUCACCAUCUUUCGACUGAGAAAUGCUGCUGGAUAUACAAUUUUUUACUGAUAACCAAU